rnacentral:sRNA from 1 species
UUCUCUUUAUUUCACAACAGGGUCUUGCUCUAUAGCCUAGACUGGUCUGGAACUCGGAACCCACUGGCCACAGCUUCUACCCUGCAGGCGCGAUGGUAACUUUCCAAUUCUGGACGCAAACCACAGGAGGCUUCUGACAGACUAUGUCCACACCAGAGGGCUAUUCGUAAUAAGAGAUGGACAGACAGUGUGAGGACCUUCUUCCCCAAUCAAGUUCAAACAGCACACUGAGCAUGCCUGCUACAUGCUCCGGGUCCUAGCAACCCCUCUCUGCUCACAGCCGGACCAAUCUGAAUACCAGAGGAUGGCUUUAUGACGCCUCUCCGUGGCGUUGUGAUGGUGAAUCUUGACCGUCAUCUUGAUUAAAGAACCACCUAGGAGAUUAGCUAAGUAGACCUCUAGGGCUCUCGGGGAGGGGAUUUCUAGAGACAGGUAGAUCCUGGAGGCUCCGCCCAAAUCAAUACACGAGUCCCUUGAUGAACUCAUAGUAUAGGAGGUAGGCUUAUGGGGGCGUGUCCUUGCAGGGAUGUCUUAUCUUGCCCCGUUCUUGUCGUCCGUCUCUCUGCUUCCUGGCUGCUGCGAUGUGAGCUGCUCCUGCUCUUCCUGACCCUCCCACCAUGAUGGAUGGACACCUCCGAAACCACAACCCCAAACCCAUAUGCUUUCUGCGUCAUCAGAAUCUGCUCACAGCUAUGAACCAAGUACGGGAUAAAGGCUUACAAAGGCUCUCCCUAAAUUUCCCCUCAACAAUACAUGUCCCCCUUUCUUAUAAAUGUGGACAAAAAUUAUCCAGGCAUCUGAUGGCUGAAUGGAUAAGGUGCUUGCUGUACUGGUUUGAGAACCUGAGUUCUCAUGCCAAGAAUACGUAAAAGCCAGGUGCAGUGACAUGCCUCUGGGAUCCCAGUAGUCCUCU